rnacentral:rRNA from 1 species
CGAUGGAUAGGGGUUCUGAGAGGAAGGUCCCCCACAUUGGAACUGAGACACGGUCCAAACUCCUACGGGAGGCAGCAGUGAGGAAUAUUGGUCAAUGGACGAGAGUCUGAACCAGCCAAGUAGCGUGAAGGAUGACUGCCCUAUGGGUUGUAAACUUCUUUUAUACGGGAAUAAAGUGAGCCACGUGUGGCUUUUUGUAUGUACCGUAUGAAUAAGGAUCGGCUAACUCCGUGCCAGCAGCCGCGGUAAUACGGAGGAUCCGAGCGUUAUCCGGAUUUAUUGGGUUUAAAGGGAGCGUAGGCGGGUUGUUAAGUCAGUUGUGAAAGUUUGCGGCUCA